UACGUAGGGUGCGAGCGUUAAUCGGAAUUACUGGGCGUAAAGUGUGCGCAGGCGGCGUUGCAAGUCGAGUGUGAAAUCCCCGAGCUUAACUUGGGAAUUGCGCUCGAAACUACGAUGCUCGAGUAUGGCAGAGGAAGGUGGAAUUCCACGUGUAGCGGUGAAAUGCGCAGAGAUGUGGAGGAACACCGAUGGCGAAGGCAGCCUUCUGGGCCAAUACUGACGCUCAUGCACGAAAGCGUGGGGAGCAAACAGG
rnacentral:rRNA from 1 species